rnacentral:rRNA from 1 species
AGUGAACGCUGGCGGUAGGCCUAACACAUGCAAGUCGAACGGCAGCACAGGAGAGCUUGCUCUCUGGGUGGCGAGUGGCGGACGGGUGAGGAAUACAUCGGAAUCUACUUUUUCGUGGGGGAUAACGUAGGGAAACUUACGCUAAUACCGCAUACGACCUACGGGUGAAAGCAGGGGAUCUUCGGAACUUGCGCGAUUGAAUGAGCCGAUGUCGGAUUAGCUAGUUGGCGGGGUAAAGGCCCACCAAGGCGACGAUCCGUAGCUGGUCUGAGAGGAUGAUCAGCCACACUGGAACUGAGACACGGUCCAGACUCCUACGGGAGGCAGCAGUGGGGAAUAUUGGACAAUGGGCGCAGGCCUGAUCCAGCCAUACCGCGUGGGUGAAGAAGGCCUUCGGGUUGUAAAGCCCUUUUGUUGGGAAAGAAAUCCAGCUGGUUAAUACCCGGUUGGGAUGACGGUACCCAAAGAAUAAGCACCAGCUAACUUCGUGCCAGCCGCCGCCGUAA